rnacentral:rRNA from 1 species
UACGGAGGGGGCUAGCGUUGUUCGGAAUUACUGGGCGUAAAGCGCACGUAGGCGGCUUUGUAAGUUAGAGGUGAAAGCCCGGGGCUCAACUCCGGAAUUGCCUUUAAGACUGCAUCGCUAGAAUUGUGGAGAGGUAAGUGGAAUUCCGAGUGUAGAGGUGAAAUUCGUAGAUAUUCGGAAGAACACCAGUGGCGAAGGCGACUUACUGGACACAUA